GGGAAGGAAUCACAAAUCACUAUGUGAAAAUUUGUAAUUUCAGGGGUAACACAAGAGUGGGUUUCCCCCUGCCAAAGAACAGCCAUCAUGGCCAUCAUGGCAAUCCUGGCCUGCCACCAUACAGAACUGCAAAGCCUUUAAGGAUAUAAUGAUCAGGAAGCAAAGGGAACCUAUUUGAAAUCUUGUAUGGGCACCUUUCCAGUCAAUGAUAUGAUUGCAUUGGUGGGAAAACCAAUAGAACUUUAGCUGUAAUUAUCAUACCCAGUAUAGUUUUCACCAAGCAGGGGUCUUCUUUCUCCAGCUGUAGUUUCUAAACUUCCUACAAUUCAGCACAAAAUAUGGUAUUAAAAAAAUUUAGAAAACUCAUAC